UACGUAGGGUGCAAGCGUUGUCCGGAAUUAUUGGGCGUAAAGAGCUCGUAGGCGGUCUGUCGCGUCGGCUGUGAAAUCUCGGGGCUCAACCUCGAGCCUGCAGUCGAUACGGGCAGACUAGAGUGCUGUAGGGGAGACUGGAAUUCCUGGUGUAGCGGUGAAAUGCGCAGAUAUCAGGAGGAACACCGGUGGCGAAGGCGGGUCUCUGGGCAAUAACUGACGCUGAGGAGCGAAAGCGUGGGGAGCAAACAGG
rnacentral:rRNA from 1 species